rnacentral:sRNA from 1 species
UUUUUAAUUUUUGUAUUUCAUCAAAUAUCGCUCUUUACUUGUUUUUGAAUUAUAAUCGGCAAAACGGAUUUGGUAGAAUCAACAAGGAAAGAAGACCCUUUUGAGCUUGACUCUAUUCUGAUUUUGUGAAAUAUGUGAAAAAGUGUAGGAUAAGUGAAAACUUCAACGCAAAUGAAAUGUUAAUAUCAUGUAUGUUUACAAUCUUACAAUUAUAGAGCAAACCCCAGCUUUUUAUUCAAGCAACUUUGUUCUCUCCCUUUGAUUAUUUGUGAGCUAAGAGAGGAGUGAAUUUGUCUAAAUCCCUUAGUACAAAUUCAUUGUUUGAUUACAGAAUCAACAAUUGGCGCGCCAGGUAGGGGAAUAUAAACAAAUUUUCUCUACGCUCCUUUAAUCAAAGCAAGCAUGGUUCAAAUCGUCAUCGACCCCGUCAUUCCUCCAGUCAACGAUGAUGGAACGGAAUCAAGUCUCCUCC